CGCUCCAGAUGGGACUUGAACCCGCAUGUCUUGUAUACUGGUCAACUGUGCUACAAGUCACACUACCGGAGC